GAUGAACGCUGGCGGCGUGCCUAAUACAUGCAAGUCGAGCGAACAGACGAGGAGCUUGCUCCUCUGACGUUAGCGGCGGACGGGUGAGUAACACGUGGAUAACCUACCUAUAAGACUGGGAUAACUUCGGGAAACCGGAGCUAAUACCGGAUAAUAUAUUGAACCGCAUGGUUCAAUAGUGAAAGACGGUUUUGCUGUCACUUAUAGAUGGAUCCGCGCCGCAUUAGCUAGUUGGUAAGGUAACGGCUUACCAAGGCAACGAUGCGUAGCCGACCUGAGAGGGUGAUCGGCCACACUGGAACUGAGACACGGUCCAGACUCCUACGGGAGGCAGCAGUAGGGAAUCUUCCGCAAUGGGCGAAAGCCUGACGGAGCAACGCCGCGUGAGUGAUGAAGGUCUUCGGAUCGUAAAACUCUGUUAUUAGGGAAGAACAAAUGUGUAAGUAACUAGGCACGUCUUGACGGUACCUAAUCAGAAAGCCACGGCUAACUACGUGC
rnacentral:rRNA from 1 species